UGGGCAAACCCAUUCGGACCGCCCACUCUGGCCGAGGUGGUGCAUUGAGGCUGCGCACUGCUCAGGGUUUCUCUUUCCCGGUGCCCGGCUGUUGAGGCCCCGCCCAACCUGCUCUCGUAGUCUUAGCGUUGGCGCCACUAGGUGGCACUUGCCGGCGUCUACCGCUCAGCCUGCAGAACUGGCACGUGUCACAUUUCUGCUGUAAUGUGCUUUCAAAACCUCUAAGAAUGAAGGGCAUAAGGAGAGAUAAAGCAAGAGUUGGAAAUAUUGACUGGAACUUGCAGAUUUAACACAGAAGCUACAACUUUACAAACUAAUCCUAAGGGACCAGGCUGUCAGAGUUCUGACCAAAGCAGCAAGACGUCAAGACUUCAAGGAGUGUUCGUGUGGUGACAGCUGUGAACUGCCUGCCCUUGUGAGGCUUACAUUCUGAUAAGAAUGAUGGCCGUCGUGUUAGAAGAAUGGCAGCUGGGAGGAGAGCCUCAGCUGAGGGAAGGGACAGGGAAUCCUGAUUGAGGGAAAGGCUACAUCAUAAAUCGGAGCAUGACCUUCCUACAUACAGCUGAAUGUGGAGUCUGGAUCUUGUUGAAGCUGGCCUCUAAAGAAAGAAAUGAAAGGCUUGUACUAUGCACCUAUAUCAAGAAUGGAAUUAUGCGUUUUGGCCAGUUGUGGCUUCCUAUAAUGGUCUCCAUCUGCUGCAAAAAGAACUUCUUCGA